GAUUAUCAGAUGCUGGCUGCCUGGAUUAGAGGGCUAUUACUUCAUCCUACUUAAAGGGUUCAUUUAUUAUCAAAAUCCUGAAGUACCGGCAACAUCCUUGCCUGCUGGAAGUAUCAUUCAGAUAUAUUGUGAUAAAUGCAUUGGACUGCUCAUUAGAUGAACACUAUGGAGGAGGAGCUCUUUCCCCUGCAGGUUCCUGUGUGAGACCCUCCAAAAUCCAAAUACACCACAUCCAAUGAUCCCCUGCAGACCUAUUUUGC